rnacentral:tRNA from 1 species
GGGUGUAGCUCAGUGGUAGAGUGUAUGCUUUGCAUACAUGGGGCCUUGGGUUCAAUCCCCAGUACCACCA